rnacentral:rRNA from 1 species
UACGGGGGGGGCAAGCGUUGUUCGGAAUUACUGGGCGUAAAGGGUUUGUAGGUGGCUUGCUAAGUCAGACGUGAAAUCCCUCGGCUUAACCGGGGAACUGCGUCUGAUACUGGAUGGCUUGAGGUUGGGAGAGGGAUGCGGAAUUCCAGGUGUAGCGGUGAAAUGCGUAGAUAUCUGGAGGAACACCGGUGGCGAAGGCGGCAUCCUGGACCAAUUCUGACGCUGAGGAGCGAAAGCCAGGGGAGCAAACGGG